rnacentral:rRNA from 1 species
UACGGGGGGGGCAAGCGUUGUUCGGAAUUACUGGGCGUAAAGGGCUCGUAGGCGGCCAACUAAGUCAGACGUGAAAUCCCUCGGCUUAACCGGGGAACUGCGUCUGAUACUGGAUGGCUUGAGUUCGGGAGGGGGAUGCGGAAUUCCAGGUGUAGCGGUGAAAUGCGUAGAUAUCUGGAGGAACACCGGUGGCGAAGGCGGCAUCCUGGACCGACACUGACGCUGAGGAGCGAAAGCCAGGGGAGCAAACGGG